GAUUCACAUCUCCCAUCUCACGCUCACUCCAGGGCAUAUGCUCAUUGAGUGGAAUGGUGGGUGGAAUCGCCCGCACUAUUUACAGGUAUCUUGUUGUUGUUGUUUUUUUUUUUUUUUUUGCCGAGUGUGUAUAGUUGAAUUCGCAUAAGUUAAAUGCGCGUAUGAUGCGACUCACCUGUAUAGAAAUAGUAUGGCAUG